rnacentral:rRNA from 1 species
CCUACGGGAGGCAGCAGUGAGGAAUAUUGGUCAAUGGACGAGAGUCUGAACCAGCCAAGUAGCGUGAAGGAUGACUGCCCUAUGGGUUGUAAACUUCUUUUAUAUGGGAAUAAAAUGUUCCACGUGUGGGAUUUUGUAUGUACCAUAUGAAUAAGGAUCGGCUAACUCCGUGCCAGCAGCCGCGGUAAUAAGGAGGAUCCGAGCGUUAUCCGGAUUUAUUGGGUUUAAAGGGAGCGUAGGUGGAUUGUUAAGUCAGUUGUCAAAGUUUGCGGCUCAACCGUAAAAUUGCAGUUGAAACUGGCAGUCUUGAGUACAGUAGAGGUGGGCGGAAUUCGUGGUGUAGCGGUGAAAUGCUUAGAUAUCACGAAGAACUCCGAUUGCGAAGGCAGCUCACUGGACUGCAACUGACACUGAGGCUCGAAAGUGUGGGUAUCGAACAGGAUUAGAUACCCGUGUAGGC